AGUCCCAACAUUAAUGAAACCAACUGAUGAAAUAAAACUCUCACCACCGAUGCUCCUCUAUUGCCGAUCUAUAUCCUCACCCUUCUUAUCUCCGAUCUGUCCCUCCUGCCUCAAUCUUCCCAGCGUUGAUCUACUUCACUUCACCCUUUUGAGCCCUAAUUUGAGAGAAAAUUCCUAUUUGAAGAGAAAAAAAAAGGCUCUCUCUCUCUCUCUCCAACUGUAAACCCAUCGCCCCUUCUUUUCUCUUUCUCUUAUCUUCCCUCAAAACCCCUCUCAAAUCAUCCACCUCCAUCCUCUUUACCAGGCCCUUCGAUUUCCCUCAAAACCCCUCUCCGACCCUAAUUUAGAAUGAUUCGGAUGCGAAGUCGAAGCCUCGGAAGUGACUCAUCAAGAAGAACACGACGGCCAAGGAGAGCACUCCUGAUUUUGGAAUUGGAGAAGAGGAUGAUGGAGAAGAAUUAGGGGAUUUUGCGAGGGGAGAGUUGGACUACGAUGAUUAGAGAGAUGGAAAGACGAAGAAGCUUGAGAAAUAUGGUACUAGUAGUAGUAGGAAGAAGGACAGACAUUGAGAAACACACAUUCACUCUCUGCUCUCCUCGCUCUUUACCCUAGCUACUCCCUCUUCAGUGCCGCCGCAGACUUCUCCCAUUUUCCUCCUUUAGCCACCGACAUUGUAUCUCCGAGCAAGCGUUAGCGCCGCCGUUGUUGCUUCAAGUAUUAAAGAAUUGGAGACAAUCAUUGAGAAACAUCACGAGGUGUGAAGCUUUCUCCACAUAUCCAAGGUCUUAUGACUUAAUUCAUGCCAAUGGGGUUUUCAAUUUGUACAACGACAAACAAGAAAUGCAAUAGGGUUAGUUGCUCCAGCUAUUGCCGCUAGGGGUGUGCGCAGUGCGGGUUGGUGUGGUUUAGGAGAAAAAUAGAAACCGUACGGCGGGUGGCGGAUUGAUAAAAGUAUUAUUAGAAAUUGCCAUUUUUUCUAUCAAAAACCAGCGGUUCGGUUGGCAAAUAAUGGCGGUUUUGACUUGGCCGUUCGGGCGGAUUGGCGGUUUUUAAGAAAACAUAAUUUAAAUUAUAAAAUUUGAAUCAAAGAGUAAAAGAUCUAAUUUAUAAAUUAACUAAAAUAGUCAAAAUUAAAAUAUUGUGUUUUCAUUAUGUGCUCCUAGACAAUAUUAUGAGAACACUUUGAUUAAAGUAAAAUAAAUAAAGCACUUUCAUGUGUUCACCAGACAAUAUGACGAGAGCAUCACUAAUUGAUGUUUUAUACCACUAGAAAAGCUUUGAUACGACAAAUAAACAACUAAUAAAACACUGCCUAUUUGUCCACUUUGGUAAGAGAUAGAUAUUGAGGAAUGGAGAGAGAGCAAAGAGAGAGAGAGAGA